ACUGGUGGUCUAGUGGUUAAGAUUCAGCCCUCUCACUGCUGCAGCCUGGCUUCGAUUCCAGGUCUCAGAA